UAGGGAAUCUUCCGCAAUGGACGAAAGUCUGACGGAGCGACGCCGCGUGAGCGAAGAAGGUCUUCGGAUCGUAAAGCUCUGUUGUUAGGGAAGAAGAAGUGCCGUUCGAACAGGGCGGCGCGGUGACGGUACCUAACGAGAAAGCCCCGGCUAACUACGUGCCAGCAGCCGCGGUAAUACGUAGGGGUCGAGCGUUGUCCGGAAUGACUGGGCGUAAAGGGUACGUAGGCGGCCAGGUAAGUCAGGUGUGAAAGUCUAGGGCUCAACCCUAGUGAGCACUUGAAACUGCUUGGCUUGAGUCGAGGAGAGGAAGGUGGAAUUCCUGGUGUAACGGUGAAAUGCGUAGAUAUCAGGAGGAAUACCAGUGGCGAAGGCGACCUUCUGGCCUUGGACUGACGCUGAGGUACGAAAGCGUGGGGAGCAAACAGG
rnacentral:rRNA from 1 species